CUUGUUCCCGUUUUCUCCUCUUUCUUCUUCGGAUGCCUUUCUCUCUCUCUCUCUCCCAUUAUCUCUUUGUUGAAAUCGCUUCGUUUGUAUCGAAAUCUCAAAGGGAGAUGAUGGUUGAUCCGAAAUCGUGUGAAGAGAAGAAGGAAUCUGCUACCGAAAGAUCAUCAAAAGAGCCAAAGAGAAAAUGGAGAGCGACUCAGUGAUGGUUCUGUUUCCUCUAUUACCGGUUCGAUAGAAUCAAACUACAGAGCUUGCACCAUUCCUUAUCAAUUCUGUUGGAUCGAUCUCUUCUCCAACUCCAUCCCUUCUUUCAAGUUCCCAUAUCUCUCUCUCUCUCUCUCUCUCUACCUUGAUCAUUUUUUUUUCUGAAAGUCCGAUCGUUAGCUCAUUUCUCCUCCAAUGCUUCCACCUCUCUCUUCUUCCGUCUUUUCCCUCGCUAUUAGCUAUCAGCUGCUGGAAGCGAGCUCUUUCUACGCCGUGACCUAAGGAUCCUCUCCGCCUCUACACAAACCACAGCUUGUUGUCCUGGGAGCGUGCAGAGACUGAUGUAUCUGUUUCACAUGCUCCUAUUCGAGGUUCGUUUGCUCAAAGGAGCGUGCAGAGACUGAUGUUUGCUCAAAGGUGCGUUUUAGAUAUUGAGAGUGAUAUCAAGACUCUCUAUGCCAAUGUUUUGAAGUCAUCUGGAAAAGAAGUAUCUGCACAAAACAAAGAUCUGCUACAAAAGGUCUUGGAGAGCGAAAGACUAGUGAUUCAACUGAAGGCAAGGAUCAUGAUGACCACCUGGCAAGUAGAAAAGUAUGCUUGAUGCUAUUGAACGUGAGUUUGAAGGUACUUCAACACAUUCCUCUCUAUGAGUCUUGACAAAGGUAAUGAAUGGCAACAACGUUUUUCCCAAAAGCGGUACGGUAUUUGUGGGUCCUACAACUUUGUUACCAAUCACAAUAUAUUGCAACUUUGAGUGCGUUAUUGUAUUUCUAGAAAACCGCGAUUCGUCACCAAUCAUGUUUUUCCCUUUUUAAUUUGCGUUUUUUGAAAAAGACAACAAAAAAUUA